rnacentral:rRNA from 1 species
UACGUAGGGGGCGAGCGUUGUCCGGAUUUAUUGGGCGUAAAGAGCUCGUAGGCUGCUUGUCGCGUCGACCGUGAAAACUUGGGGCUCAACCCCAAGCCUGCGGUCGAUACGGGCAGGCUAGAGUUCGGUAGGGGAGACUGGAAUUCCUGGUGUAGCGGUGAAAUGCGCAGAUAUCAGGAGGAACACCGGUGGCGAAGGCGGGUCUCUGGGCCGAUACUGACGCUGAGGAGCGAAAGCGUGGGGAGCAAACAGG